rnacentral:rRNA from 1 species
AGAGUUUGAUCCUGGCUCAGAGCGAACGCUGGCGGCAGGCUUAACACAUGCAAGUCGGGCGCUCGUAGCAAUACGAGAGCGGCAGACGGGAGAGUAACACGUGGGAACGUACCCUUCGGUUCGGAAUAACCCAGGGAAACUUGGGCUAAUACCGGAUACGUCCGUAAGGAGAAAGAUUUAUCGCCGAGGGAUCGGCCCGCGUCCGAUUAGCUAGUUGGUGAGGUAAUGGCUCACCAAGGCGACGAUCGGUAGCUGGUCUGAGAGGAUGAUCAGCCUCACUGGGACUGAGACACGGCCCAGACUCCUACGGGAGGCAGCAGUGGGGAAUAUUGGACAAUGGGCGCAAGCCUGAUCCAGCCAUGCCGCGUGGGUGAUGAAGGCCUUAGGGUUGUAAAGCCCUUUC